UAGCGGCAGGCUUAACACAUGCAAGUCAGGGGCAUCGGGAGUAGCAAUACUUGCCGGCGACCGGCGCAAGGGUGCGUAACGCGUGAGCAACAUGCCCGUAUCAGGGGGAUAAUCCAUGGAAACGUGGUCUAAUACCCCAUAGUAAUUAUGUAAGGCAUCUUAUAUAAUUUAAAGCUUUGGUGGAUACGGAUUGGCUCGCGUGACAUUAGCUAGAUGGUAAGGUAACGGCUUACCAUGGCUACGAUGUCUAGGGGUUCUGAGAGGAAGGUCCCCCACACUGGAACUGAGACACGGUCCAGACUCCUACGGGAGGCAGCAGUGAGGAAUAUUGGACAAUGGAUGGAAAUCUGAUCCAGCCAUGCCGCGUGCAGGAAGACGGCCCUAUGGGUUGUAAACUGCUUUUGUAUGGGAGCAAUAAGGGCUACGCGUAGUCCGAUGAGAGUACCAUACGAAUAAGCACCGGCUAACUCCGUGCCAGCCGCCGC
rnacentral:rRNA from 1 species